UAUGCAGAUGUUAUAUAUGCUUCUCCAUUUAAUAAAAAAAUAUUAAAAACCAUAUAUUGUUAAAUAAAAACCUGCAGUUGCGUAUUAGUUCAGUUUAUAUCAAACACAAUGUAGAGAGAAAAAUUUCGACAGUAAAAAAGAAAUCCAAGUAUCAGAAACAAAAAAACAAAUAAAGGUAGCAUACCUGAUACAUUCACCCUCAUUUGUAGCAACCACUAUUGGAGAAAAAGGCUGCAACAAAGAUGUUCUAGAUCAUACAUGAGUAAACCAUAACCAACAAUUUCAAGUAUAUUACCUCAGAUAUCCAAGUCAAGCCUUUCCUCUACACCAACACCUAUACCAUCCUAUCUUUUUUCAUGAAAGAUAUAGAGAAAGAGUUUGAGUUGUCUGCAUCACUUGAUAAUUUUAUAAUGGUUGUAUAUAAUAUUUUGUAAGACUUUACAAAUUUCAUAUUUAUUCAUUUGUAAAGGAGUUAUGCAUAUAAUAAAAAACAAUAGAAAAUCUAUCUCUUUUUUUAUAGCUGGUUGCAGUGAAAAAGGGCAAAAGCAUUAAAACUUAACACGAUCAAAAGGCAUCCUAUACCAUUUAAUUUAUCAUCUCUCUUCUCAAUUCCAUACCCUUUUCUCGAUGGGUAACAAAAGCUCCAAAUUUUAAAGGAAUUCAUAGUGCUCUUCUAAACCUAAACCAAAACAAAAGCUUCAAAUUUUAAACGAACUUACGAUCUGUUGGAAACCGCCGUGUGAGCGCCGUCGUUCAGUGGCGUUCAACUUCGACACAAUAGUAUUACCAUCGCUGAGUAGGAGAUGAUUACAAAAUCCUGUUCUACCAUGAGAGGAUUCAACGUCCAGGAUCAAAUCAAGAGCGUCUCAUAAUAGGGGACUUGGCUGCUCAAACCAGAGAUUAAACUCAUCUUGGAUGUAAUUAUCAUCAACUUCACAGAAAAACACGUUUCGGCGCAGGUUGCAAAACCAUGAUAUCCACGAUGUGUCCUCCUCAUCAGACCCACUAACAUCCGAUUCCUCACUAUCCAUUUCAUAUCAAAAUCUCACCUUUAAAUAAUCACUGACGCCGGAGACGAUGAAUAGGAAUGUGAGCGCAUCGAUCUGAUCAGGAUCAUCUUCGAUGUCAAUACAAGUGCUAUACCGGGGUUUGAUUGCAAGUCAGCUGAAUUUGGAUUUGGUUUAAGUGAGAGGGUUAAGCUAUGGAAAAGGUAAAAGAUGUCGAAGGUGGAGGAAUGCAGAUGGGGGUUGUUUGACUUGUGGGGUAAUUCUAAGGCUUAAGUACUGGCUCUACAAAUUCAAGCUCUUGGAAGUUAAAACUUACCACACCAUUGCAGAAUUCACCAGAAAUGUCAAGUUGGCUCUACGAAACCCUAGCCGCCGCCGGGUUUGGUGGUUGAUUUGACCCUAUCCACCACCGCCGGAAGUCGGGGAUCUGAAUAUCAUCAGCAACCCCUUACACCACGAAACCCUAGCCGCCGCCGGAUUUGGUGGUUGAUUUGACCCUAUCGCCGGAAGUGACAGCAGAACCGUAGGUUCGUUGGAAUACAGGCAGGCCAAGCAUGUGGAUGAAGAUGAUGCCAACGCCAAGCCACCCACUAACAACGGUGGUCGGCCUCCUUGUCUCCUUCCUCCAGUCUCUUUCCAUCUCUUGCUUUAUCCCCUAUUUCAUCUGAACUUCCUCUCUCUCUCUUGAGGAGUGAUUGUGUUUU
rnacentral:lncRNA from 1 species